rnacentral:rRNA from 1 species
AAUAGAUACCCUGGUAGUCCACGCCGUAAACGAUGAGUGCUAGGUGUUGGUGGGGACACCCAUCAGUGCCGCAGCUAACGCAUUAAGCACUCCGCCUGGGGAGUACGGUCGCAAGACUGAAACUCAAAGGAAUUGACGGGGACCCGCACAAGCAGCGGAGCAUGUGGUUUAAUUCGGCGCAACGCGAAGAACCUUACCAGGGCUUGACAUCCCUCUGACCGGAUUAGAGAUAGUCCUUUCUCUUCGGAGACAGAGGAGACAGGUGGUGCAUGGUUGUCGUCAGCUCGUGUCGUGAGAUGUUGGGUUAAGUCCCGCAACGAGCGCAACCCUUGCCUUUAGUUGCCAUCAGGUAAAGCUGGGCACUCUAGAGGGACUGCCGGUGACAAACCGGAGGAGGUGGGGAUGACGUCAAAUCACCAUGCCCCUUAUGUCCUGGGCUACACACGUGCUACAAUGGUCGGUACAACGGGAAGCGAGACUGCGAAGUUUAGCCAAUCCCGAAUAAGCCGAUCCCAGUUCGGAUUGU